GAUGAACGCUGGCGGCGUGCCUAAUACAUGCAAGUCGAGCGAACAGAUGAGGAGCUUGCUCCUCUGACGUUAGCGGCGGACGGGGGAGUAACACGUGGAGAACCUACCUAUAAGACUGGGAUAACUUCGGGAAACCGGAGCUAAUACCGGAUAAUAUAUUGAACCGCAUGGUUCAGUAGUGAAAGACGGUUUUGCUGUCACUUAUAGAUGGAUCCGCGCCGCAUUAGCUAGUUGGUAAGGUAACGGGUUACCAAGGCAAAGAUGCGUAGCCGACCUGAGAGGGUGGUCGAGCACACUGGAAGUGAGACACGGUCCAGACUCCUACGGGAGGCAGCAGCAGAGAAUCUUCCGCAAUGGGCGAAAGCGUGACGGAGCAAAGCCGCGUGAGUGAUGAAGGUGUUCGGAUCGUAAAACUCUGUUAGUAGGGAAGAACAAAUGUGUAAGUAACUAUGCACGUAUUGACGGUACCUAAUCAGAAAGCCACGGCUAACUACGUG
rnacentral:rRNA from 1 species